AUACGGAGGGUGCAAGCGUUAUUCGGAAUCACUGGGCGCAAAGGGUGCGUAGGCGGUUUGAUAAGUCUGAUGUGAAAUCCUAUGGCUCAACCAUAGAACUGCAUUGGAAACUGUCAGACUAGAAUACUGAAGGGGCAGAUGGAAUUAGUGGUGUAGGGGUAAAAUCCGUAGAUAUCACUAGGAAUACCGAAAGCGAAAGCGAUCUGCUGGGAAGUUAUUGACGCUGAGGCACGAAAGCGUGGGGAGCAAACGGGAUUAGAUACCCUUGUAGUCC
rnacentral:rRNA from 1 species